UACGAAGGGGGCUAGCGUUGCUCGGAAUCACUGGGCGUAAAGCGCACGUAGGCGGACUCUUAAGUCGGUGGUGAAAUCCUGGAGCUCAACUCCAGAACUGCCUUCGAUACUGAGAGUCUCGAGUCCGGGAGAGGUGAGUGGAACUGCGAGUGUAGAGGUGAAAUUCGUAGAUAUCUGGAGGAAUACCGGUGGCGAAGGCGGCAUCCUGGACCGGCAUUGACGCUGAGGAGCGAAAGCCAGGGGAGCAAACGGG
rnacentral:rRNA from 1 species